rnacentral:rRNA from 1 species
UACGUAGGGUGCGAGCGUUGUCCGGAAUUAUUGGGCGUAAAGAGCUCGUAGGCGGUGUGUCGCGUCGGCCGUGAAAACCUGCAGCUUAACUGUGGGCGUGCGGUCGAUACGGGCAUCACUGGAGUUCGGCAGGGGAGACUGGAAUUCCUGGUGUAGCGGUGAAAUGCGCAGAUAUCAGGAGGAACACCGGUGGCGAAGGCGGGUCUCUGGGCCGAUACUGACGCUGAGGCGCGAAAGCCCAGGGGAGCGAACGGG